GAUGAACGCUAGCGGCAGGCCUAACACAUGCAAGUCGAGGGGGAGGUUACUUUCGGGUAACUGAGACCGGCGUACGGGUGCGUAACGCGUAUACAAUCUGCCUUUCACUGGGGGAUAGCCCGAAGAAAUUUGGAUUAAUACCCCAUAGUAUAGUAAUACGGCAUCGUGAUGCUAUUAAAGCUUAGGUGGUGAAAGAUGAGUAUGCGUUCUAUUAGCUAGUUGGAGAGGUAACGGCUCCCCAAGGCGAUGAUAGAUAGGGGUUCUGAGAGGGAUGUCCCCCACACUGGUACUGAGAUACGGACCAGACUCCUACGGGAGGCAGCAGUGAGGAAUAUUGGACAAUGGUCGGAAGACUGAUCCAGCCAUGCCGCGUGCAGGAUGAAGGUCUUAUGGAUUGUAAACUGCUUUUGGAAGGGAAGAAUAAGGGCUACGCGUAGUUUGAUGACGGUACCUUACGAAUAAGCAUCGGCUAACUCCGUG
rnacentral:rRNA from 1 species